rnacentral:rRNA from 1 species
GACGAACGCUGGCGGCGUGCUUAACACAUGCAAGUCGAACGGGAGUAUCGAAGAAGCUUGCUUUUAAGAUACUUUAGUGGCGGACGGGUGAGUAACGCGUGAGGAGCUGUCCUAUGCAGGGGGACAACAGUUGGAAACGACUGCUAAUACCCCAUAAGCCGAGAGGUAAAAGGAGCGAUCCGGCAGAGGAGGUACUCGCGUCCUAUCAGCUAGUAGGUGAGGUAACGGCUCACCUAGGCGAAGACGGGUAGCCGGCCUGAGAGGGCGAACGGCCACACUGGAACUGAGAUACGGUCCAGACUCCUACGGGAGGCAGCAGUGGGGAAUAUUGGGCAAUGGGGGCAACCCUGACCCAGCGACGCCGCGUGGGUGAAGAAAUCCUUCGGGAUGUAAAGCCCUGUUGUAUGGGAAGAGCAGAAGACGGUACCAUACGAGGAAGCCCCGGCAAACUACGUGCCAGCCGCCGCCGUAA